UAGAAGCAUAAUCUUUAUCUUCGGUUGUUGUGACCGAUUUUGACAUGUUAUCCAUAAAAGUUUUAGAUCAAGAAGAAGACGGGACAGAGCUCUGGAAAACGGACGUACAGCUUUGAUAAAUCAGAUCAAUGGAAUACCAAAUCCAGGACUCCACCUACAACAAACAGAAGCAUUAUAAGUUGAAGAAAUGCAGACGCGGGAAGUGCUAGAGUUUGCAGAUCGGAGGUUCUUGAUGUGUUUCAUAGCAUCAUUAUUUCAAGGGAAUCGUCCAGCGACACAAGAGUAUUCCCGCAACAACUUGCGGUCGCAUGAAGACAAAGGAUGAUAACAUUUGAAAGCUUCUGUGCGAUGUGUGAGGAAGUGGUGGUUCCCCCUAUGAGAAGAUAUCUGCUCUUCGAGUUGUGUCUGAUCUCUUCAUCAUACUCCUACCUACGUAAUCUUCAGAGACAUAGUAGAUGACUGAUAUCAGCAACGACAGGAGAAAGAAGGUGUAAAACUACAUUAAUCAGAUGGAGAAAAGUACAGUGAUGUGCACCCAAUUAUAACCCUCAAUGUAAAGGUAAAAACCACGGAUCGUCCUAGUCAAUGAAAAUCACAGCUCCAUUAUGAU